CUCAACCUGGGAAUGGCAUUCGAUACUGGCGGGCUAGAGUCUGGUAGAGGGUGGUGGAAUUCCAGGUGCAGCGGUGAAAUGCGUAGAUAUCUGGAGGAACAUCAGUGGCGAAGGCGGCCACCUGGACCAAGACUGACGCUGAGGUGCGAAAGCGUGGGUAGCAAACAGGAUUAGAUACCCUGGUAGUCCACGCCGUAAACGAUGAGAACUAGACGUUGGGGGAAUCUUGUCCCUUAGUGUCGCAGCUAACGCGUUAAGUUCUCCGCCUGGGGAGUACGGCCGCAAGGUUAAAACUCAAAGGAAUUGACGGGGGCCCGCACAAGCGGUGGAGCAUGUGGUCUAAUUCGAUGCAACGCGAAGAACCUUACCUGCCCUUGACAUGCCAGGAACCCUGCAGAGAUGCGGGGGUGCCUUCGGGAGCCU
rnacentral:rRNA from 1 species